rnacentral:rRNA from 1 species
UACAGAGGUCUCAAGCGUUGUUCGGAUUCAUUGGGCGUAAAGGGUGCGUAGGUGGCGCUGUAAGUCGGGUGUGAAAUUUCGGAGCUUAACUCCGAAACUGCAUUCGAUACUGCGGUGCUUGAGGACUGGAGAGGAGACUGGAAUUCAUGGUGUAGCGGUGAAAUGCGCAGAUAUCAGGAGGAACACCGAUGGCGAAGGCAGGUCUCUGGGCCACUACUGACGCUGAGAAGCGAAAGCAUGGGGAGCGAACAGG